UACGUAGGGUGCGAGCGUUAAUCGGAAUUACUGGGCGUAAAGCGUGCGCAGGCGGUUUUGUAAGCCAGAUGUGAAAUCCCCGGGCUCAACCUGGGAAUGGCAUUUGGGACUGCAAGGCUGGAGUGUGGCAGAGGAGACUGGAAUUCCUGGUGUAGCAGUGAAAUGCGUAGAUAUCGUAAGGAAGACCAGUGGCGAAGGCGGGUCUCUGGACAGUUCCUGACGCUGAGGCACGAAGGUCAGGGGAGCAAACGGG
rnacentral:rRNA from 1 species